rnacentral:rRNA from 1 species
UACGAAGGGUGCUAGCGUUGUUCGGAAUUACUGGGCGUAAAGCGCGCGUAGGCGGACUGCCAAGUCAGAGGUGAAAUGCCGGGGCUUAACCCCGGAACUGCCUUUGAAACUGUCAGUCUGGAGUUCGAGAGGGGAUAGCGGAAUUGCUAAUGUAGAGGUGAAAUUCGUAGAUAUUAGCAGGAACACCGGUGGCGAAGGCGGCUAUCUGGCUCGAUACUGACGCUCUGGCGCGAAAGCGUGGGGAUCAAACAGG